rnacentral:rRNA from 1 species
AGAUUGAACGCUGGCGGCAGGCCUAACACAUGCAAGUCGAGCGGUAGAGAGGUGCUUGCACCUCUUGAGAGCGGCGGACGGGUGAGUAAUGCCUAGGAAUCUGCCUAGUGGUGGGGGAUAACGUUCGGAAACGGACGCUAAUACCGCAUACGUCCUACGGGAGAAAGCGGGGGACCUUCGGGCCUCGCGCCAUUAGAUGAGCCUAGGUCGGAUUAGCUAGUUGGUGAGGUAAUGGCUCACCAAGGCGACGAUCCGUAACUGGUCUGAGAGGAUGAUCAGUCACACUGGAACUGAGACCACGGUCCAGACUUCCGUACGGGAGGCAGCGAG